GGCCGGAAUUGGUGUAGUAAUGACUGUUUUACUCACAGAGGCUAGCCUGGCACCUAGUACUGAUGAGAUGAAGAAACUGAAGCUCAGAGAAGUAAGGCAGCUUGCGUGGCUGUGGUCUCUAGCCUCCAAGAUGGCUCCCAAUAGGCCAUAUCUGGAAGUCAGACGUAGUGUCACGAGCAGACCUUCCCCAUGGUAGAGUAACUGAGGCCUCCUCUUGCCAGUAGCCAUGGGAGUGAACUUAAGAGGUGGAACCCGAGCCCUGCCAAACCUCAGAUGACGGCUGCCCCAGUCAAUAACCUGAAUAUACCCCUGGGAGAAACCCUGAACCAAAGCCACUCAGCCUUAAGCCACUUCGGAUUCCUGAUAUUCAGAAACUGUGUGACAGAUUCAACGUAUGUUGUUUUAAGCUACCAGGUUUGGGGGUAAUUUGUUAUGUAACAAUAACGAACGUACUAAUCACACAUCUAGUGAGGAGGAGAGUCUGCACUCAAACCCAGACCUGCCUGGCUCUAGAGUUUAUGUUCUUAUUCUCCGCCGUCAAUGUUUCUAAACUGCUCUUUUACGCACCUAGCACCUCUUUCAUGGGAAAACAUACAUUUAUUUCUGCUCCCACUGCCGCCUUAGUAGGCACUUGUAUAAGUAGCUGCCAUCUUCCCCCACCUGCCAAUCAUCAAAGAAAAAGGUCAAAGGUAACAUGGCUCAUCAUCCAGACAGAUGGGAGAAAUCCCAGCGCUUAGCAGGUGUGUCCUCUCCCUGGUUCUAUCAGCUUGGGAAGUUAAUUUUAUACACGCAGGACUGCUAAAGCAGACUGCU